rnacentral:tRNA from 1 species
GGAGAGGUGGGUGAGUGGCUGAAACCAGUAGUUUGCUAAACUGCCGUACGCCAAAAGUGUACCGGGGGUUCGAAUCCCCCCUUCUCCG